AUGAAAUCCAAAAGGGGUAUAGGGCUACGGUGGUGGGGUAUAGGGCUACGGUGGUGGGGUAUAGGGCUACGGUGGUUGUCGUCGUGGUUUGGAUGUGAUCGAAGCGAUCCUCACGAAGCUUUUGCUCAAGAUGAAGGAGGUCGUGGAUUCAAGGAUGAAGGUGGUAAUGAUCUUGGUGUUGUACAAAAUGGAUUUCAUCAUGUGGCUUAUAAGGAAAACGGUAAAGUGAUUGACAAGAGAAGUCUUAUAUCUGAUGAUGUUGUUUGA